UACGUAGGGCGCAAGCGUUGUCCGGAAUUAUUGGGCGUAAAGAGCUCGUAGGCGGUCUGUUGCGUCCGCUGUGAAAUCCCGGGGCUCAACCCCGGGCCUGCAGUGGAUACGGGCUGGCUGGAGGCAGGCAGGGGAGAACGGAAUUCCUGGUGUAGCGGUGAAAUGCGCAGAUAUCAGGAGGAACACCGGUGGCGAAGGCGGUUCUCUGGGCCUGUUCUGACGCUGAGGAGCGAAAGCGUGGGGAGCGAACAGG
rnacentral:rRNA from 1 species